UACGGAGGGUGCAAGCGUUAUCCGGAUUCACUGGGUUUAAAGGGUGUGUAGGCGGGUAUUUAAGUCAGUGGUGAAAUCCCCAAGCUUAACUUGGGAACUGCCGUGGAUACUAUCAAUCUUGAAUAUCGUGGAGGUAAGCGGAAUAUGUCAUGUAGCGGUGAAAUGCUUAGAUAUGACAUAGAACACCAAUUGCGUAGGCAGCUUACUACACGAUCAUUGACGCUGAGGCACGAAAGCGUGGGGAGCAAACAGG
rnacentral:rRNA from 1 species